GAUUAACGCUGGCGGCGUGCAUAACACAUGCAAGUCGAACGAUGAAACUUUAAUGAACCCUUCGGGGAGAAUUAAAGCGGAUUAGUGGCGAACGGGUGAGUAACGCGUGAGUAACCUGCCUUACACAAGGGGAUAGCCUUUGGAAACGAAGAAUAAUACCCUAUAAAACCAUACAAGCACAUGCAAUUAUGGUCAAAGUGAUAGCGAUGUAAGAUGGACUUGCGUCUGAUUAGCUAGUUGGUGAGAUAAAAGCCCACCAAGGCAACGAUCAGUAGCCGGCUUGAGAGAGUGUACGGCCACAUUGGGACUGAGACACGGCCCAGACUCCUACGGGAGGCAGCAGUGGGGAAUUUUGCACAAUGGGGGAAACCCUGAUGCAGCGACGCCGCGUGAUUUAGAAGGCCUUCGGGUUGUAAAAAUCUUUUGUAUAGGAAGAAAAUGACAGUACUAUACGAAUAAGGUCCGGCUAAUUACGUG
rnacentral:rRNA from 1 species